rnacentral:rRNA from 1 species
GAGUUUGAUCAUGGCUCAGGAUGAACGCUGGCGGCGUGCCUAACACAUGCAAGUCGAGCGAGAAGGUUAUGACUGAUUCUUCGGAUGAAGGAUUAACUGGAAAGCGGCGGACGGGUGAGUAACGCGUGGGCAACCUGCCCUGUACAGAGGGAUAGCCACUGGAAACGGUGAUUAAUACCUCAUAUUACUGAAUUAUCGCAUGGUAAAUCAGUGAAAGCUCCGGCGGUACAGGAUGGGCCCGCGUCUGAUUAGCUAGUUGGUAAGGUAACGGCUUACCAAGGCGACGAUCAGUAGCCGACCUGAGAGGGUGAUCGGCCACACUGGAACUGAGACACGGUCCAGACUCCUACGGGAGGCAGCAGUGGGGAAUAUUGCACAAUGGGCGCAAGCCUGAUGCAGCAACGCCGCGUGAGCGAUGAAGGCCUUCGGGUCGUAAAGCUCUGUCCUAUGGGAAGAAUAAUGACGGUACCAUAGGAGGAAGCCCCGGCUAAUUACGUGCCAGCAGCCGCGGUAAUACGUAAGGGGCAAGCGUUAUCCGGAAUAACUGGGCGUAAAGGGUGCGUAGGUGGUUUGUUAAGUCAGGGGUGAAAGGCUACGGCUCAACCGUAGUAAG